rnacentral:rRNA from 1 species
UACGUAGGGUGCGAGCGUUGUCCGGAAUUAUUGGGCGUAAAGAGCUCGUAGGCGGUCUGUCGCGUCGGUCGUGAAAACUUGGGGCUUAACCCUGAGCUUGCGGUCGAUACGGGCAUGACUGGAGUUCGGUAGGGGAGACUGGAAUUCCUGGUGUAGCGGUGAAAUGCGCAGAUAUCAGGAAGAACACCGGUGGCGAAGGCGGGUCUCUGGGCCGAUACUGACGCUGAGGAGCGAAAGCGUGGGGGAGCGAACAGG